rnacentral:lncRNA from 1 species
AACCUUGUUUAUGCAGCUCGAGGCCCGUGCACUAAAGACCACAUGCUCCAUUGAACAUUUAUGGCUGCAAAUGGCUCCUCCGUGCAGGCAAGGGAGGGGGCUGCACAUGCUUAGGUGAGGACAUGGAAGCACAGGGAGGUUAUGCCACUCGCCCAAAGACAACUAAUCAGUGACAGCUGAGACUUGGACUGCAGAACCUACACUUUAUAACUAUUUUACAGUUCUGGGCGUCACGGAAUCUUGUAUGAGGAGCCCCUAACCUGGCCCGGGUGGAGGUCAGGGAGGUCUUCCUGGAGGAGGGGGUUCUUGGCAGCAACUUGCUGGAUUUGGUGUUCCCUGUUGGUUGGUCAGUCGCUAGACAGUUAUUCACUGAGCUCUGAGAACAGGCUGGGCCCUGCUCCAGGCCCUGGUUGGACAGCAGGGAGCAAGGCUGGGGGAAAUGACUCCCAAGAAAAUGGACAUGUGUGACCCUGGGUUCUGGGAAGGCAGGGAGGGAAGACAAGUACCAGAGGCACAGCGAGGGUCUCUCUGGAGCCACAGGGAGAGGGGAGGGAUGCACAGGCCUGGGGUGCUGCAGGGCCUGAGCCUGUGGCUGCUUCUGGCCAGGAAAGAAG